GAUGAACGCCGGCGGCGUGCCUAAUACAUGCAAGUCGAGCGAACGGACGAGAAGCUUGCUUCUCUGAUGUUAGCGGCGGACGGGUGAGUAACACGUGGAUAACCUACCUAUAAGACUGGGAUAACUUCGGGAAACCGGAGCUAAUACCGGAUAAUAUUUUGAACCGCAUGGUUCAAAAGUGAAAGACGGUCUUGCUGUCACUUAUAGAUGGAUCCGCGCUGCAUUAGCUAGUUGGUAAGGUAACGGCUUACCAAGGCAACGAUGCAUAGCCGACCUGAGAGGGUGAUCGGCCACACUGGAACUGAGACACGGUCCAGACUCCUACGGGAGGCAGCAGUAGGGAAUCUUCCGCAAUGGGCGAAAGCCUGACGGAGCAACGCCGCGUGAGUGAUGAAGGUCUUCGGAUCGCAAAACUCUGUUAUUAGGGAAGAACAUAUGUGUAAGUAACUGUGCACAUCUUGACGGUACCUAAUCAGAAAGCCACGGCUAACUACGUG
rnacentral:rRNA from 1 species